AGCAGAUGGAAACCAGGGUAAUGACACAAACGAUGAAGACACAGCCUCCGCCCACCGAUGCUCCAAUGAUGAUUAGCAAGGGGAGGGCCUCUGCAAGGAAAACGGAAUCAGAAUCAGAAUGAGCUUUAUUGCCAGGAUAAUCUGGCAUGAGGAUCCCAUACCUUGCUCUUCAAGAGUGACCAGUGCCAUGCCUGUACCAAAGCGGUUAUAAGCAGUGCAGUUGUAUCGAAGCUGGAAAUCUUGUGCCAGAGUCUCUGAGAGGAUUAGCGAGGAGAGGACCCCUCGGUCACUGUGUACUGUCUGCACGGAAAAACGACCAGAAGAGCCAGAUGACAAGAUCAUGUCCCCAAAUGUCCAUACCUGAGGAGGAAGACAUAGCAAGGAGUAAGG